GAUGAACGCUGGCGGCGUGCCUAAUACAUGCAAGUCGAGCGAACGGACGAGAAGCUUGCUUUUCUGAUGUUAGCGGCGGACGGGUGAGUAACACGUGGAUAACCUACCUAUAAGACUGGGAUAACUUCGGGAAACCGGAGCUAAUACCGGAUAAUAUUUUGAACCGCAUGGUUCAAAAGUGAAAGACGGUCUUGCUGUCACUUAUAGAUGGAUCCGCGCUGCAUUAGCUAGUUGGUAAGGUAACGGCUUACCAUGGCAACGAUGCAUAGCCGACCUGAGAGGGUGAUCGGCCACACUGGAACUGAGACACGGUCCAGACUCCUACGGGAGGCAGCAGUAGGGAAUCUUCCGCAAUGGGCGAAGGCCUGACGGAGCAACGCCGCGUGAGUGAUGAAGGUCUUCGGAUCGUAAAACUCUGUUAUUAGGGAAGAACAUAUGUGUAAGUAACUGUGCACAUCUUGACGGUACCUAAUCAGAAAGCCACGGCUAACUACGUG
rnacentral:rRNA from 1 species